UUUCCGCGAGACUUUUUUCCAGCAGUGAAUAAUAUUUUUGUUCACGGCUGAAAAGAAGUCUCGCAGGA
rfam:Apis mellifera strain DH4 linkage group 8, whole genome shotgun sequence.